UGGAGCUAUAAACAGGAGUACCAGUACCAGAUCAAUGUGGAGCUAUAAACAGGGAGUACCAGUACCAGAUCAAUGUGGAGCUAUAAACAGGGAGUACCAGAUCAAUGUGGAGCUAUAAACAGGGAGUACCAGUACCAGAUCAAUGUGGAGCUAUAAACAGGGAGUACCAGUACCAGAUCAACAUGGAGCUAUAAACAGGGAGUACCAGAUCAAUGUGGAGCUAUAAACAAGGAGUACCAGUACCAGAUCAACAAGGAGCUAUAAACAGAGAGUACCAGUACCAGAUCAAUGUGGCGCUAUAAACAGGGAGUACCAGUACCAGAUCAAUGUGGAGCUAUAAACAGGGAGUACCAGUACCAGAUCAAUGUGGAGCUAUAAACAGGGAGUACCAGUACCAGAUCAAUGUG
ensembl:lncRNA